rnacentral:rRNA from 1 species
UACGUAGGGGGCGAGCGUUACCCGGAUUUACUGGGCGUAAAGCGCGUGUAGGCGGCUGGUCAAGCGUGGUGUGAAAUCUCCGGGCUCAACCCGGAAACUGCAUUGCGAACUGACCUAGCUGGAGUGCAGGAGAGGGCAGCGGAAUUCCCGGUGUAGCGGUGAAAUGCGUAGAUAUCGGGAAGAACACCAGUGGCGAAGGCGGCUGCCUGGCCUGUAAC